rnacentral:tRNA from 1 species
AGAAGCAGUGCACUCCUGUUUUCAGAUUCGACCUGAAAGAAAAGUAAUAGUUUUACUCUUUAAUU